rnacentral:rRNA from 1 species
CACGCAUGACACACUGCAUAUCAAUAAGCGGAGGAAAAGAAACUAACAAGGAUUCCCUCAGUAACGGCGAGUGAAGCGGGAAGAGCUCAAAUUUGAAAUCUUAAAGGGUUUCCCUUUACGAAUUGUAGUUUAAAGAAGUGUUUUCUGUUGGAGUUUCGGUAAAAGUUCUUUGGAAUAGGACAUCAUAGAGGGUGAGAAUCCCGUAUUUGGUCAUUCCUCCUAGCGUUGUGAUACACUUUCAACGAGUCGGAUUGUUUGGGAAUGCAGUCCAAAAUGGGUGGUAAAUUUCAUCUAAAGCUAAAUAUUGGCGAGAGACCGAUAGCGAACAAGUACCGUGAGGGAAAGAUGAAAAGAACUUUGAAAAGAGAGUUAAACAGUACGUGAAAUUGUCAAAAGGGAAGCGUUUGACACCAGUGUUGUUUUUCCGAAAAUCAAUUACGAAUGUUUUGUUUUUGAGGAGUUAUGACUUCAUCGGCUUGCUUCUCUCUUUAUGAAACUUUCUUAAUGCACUUUUCGGUUAACAAGUCAACAUCAAUUUCUUUUGUUGUAAAAGGGUAUGAGGAAGGUGGCUUUCUUUUCGGAGAAAGUGUUUAUAGCCUUGUACCUCUGCAAUCGGAGAGAUUGAGGUCUGCAGCGUAGAUCCUUCGGGGUUAGAUACGUUUGUGCUAAGUUAUAGCUUUUCAUAGACAACUUGUUGACUAUGUUUAGUCUUGUAGCUUACUCGCUGACGCUAUUUUACCUACGCUUAGGAUGUUGACUGAUAUGUAGUCGUA